GAUGAACGCUAGCGGCAGGCCUAACACAUGCAAGUCGAGGGGCAGCGAGGUGUAGCAAUACACUGUUCGGCGACCGGCGCACGGGUGCGUAACGCGUAUGCAACCUACCUAUAACAGGGGAAUAAUCGAGAGAAAUUUUGUCUAAUACCCCGUAACACUUUGAGAGGCAUCUUUUGAAGUUGUAAGAUUUAUUGGUUAUAGAUGGGCAUGCGUGACAUUAGCUAGAUGGUGAGGUAACGGCUCACCAUUGCUACGAUGUCUAGGGGAACUGAGAGGUUUAUCCCCCACACUGGUACUGAGACACGGACCAGACUCCUACGGGAGGCAGCAGUGAGGAAUAUUGGUCAAUGGACGCAAGUCUGAACCAGCCAUGCCGCGUGCAGGAAGACGGCUCUAUGAGUUGUAAACUGCUUUUGUAAAGGGGUAAAAAGAGCCACGAGUGGUUUAUUGAAAGUACUUUACGAAUAAGGAUCGGCUAACUCCGUGCCAGCAGCCGCGGUAAUAC
rnacentral:rRNA from 1 species